rnacentral:rRNA from 1 species
AUUGAACGCUGGCGGCAGGCUUAACACAUGCAAGUCGAACGAGUGGCGGACGGGUGAGUAAUGCUUGGGAACCUAGCUAAUGGAGGGGGCUAACUACGGGAAACUGUAGCUAAUACUGCGUACCACAGGUUGAGCUCAAGUGGGAUUAGGUAGUGGGUGAGGUAAAGGUUCAACAAGCCGACGAGCUCUAGCUGGUCUGAGAGGAGGAUCAGACACACUGGGACUGAGACACGGCACAGACUCCUACGGGAGGAAGCAGUAGGGAAUAUUGCGCAAUGGGGGAAACCUGACGGAGCAAUGCCGCGUGAGUGAAGAAGGCCUUCGGGUUGUAAAGUUCUUUCGGUAGCGAAGCGUUAACUACAGAAGAAGCACCGGCUAACUCCGUGCCAGCAGCCGCGGUAAUUC